AUUUACCGAUGUGGUUGUCCUCGAUGUGCUCGAUGAGGUCGGCCAGGGUGGGGAAGUGGAGUCCGCAGCCCCCGAAUCGGCAGAGAUGGAGUUUUGCCAUUUGCCCAGGCUGGACUCGCAGUCCUGGACUCAACCACCUUGGCCUCCCAAAGUGCUGGGAUUACAGGGGUUCCUGUUGAGAUUAAAGUAAAUGCAUUUACCAGCAUACAUGUCAUGGAAGACUGACUCUGCACCAUGCUCUGUGACAAAAGGCUUCAAGAUUAAACCGGUUUGCCCUUCUACCGUGAAGGUGAGCCGUGAAGUCUAUUGCCCAGGGAUUGGGGACGUUUGUAUUAAAGAAGGUUUUGGAGUACAGAAGCAGGAAGAUGUGUUGUGGAGAUGCUGUUGGCAGAAACAACUGGCCUUGACUAAACAAACCAAGAGUUCCUACAGGAGCAGAGGCAACCGGGUGAAGGCUGACGCCCUUGCACAGGCUUGGGCAGCUCUUCUCCACAUGUCCACGUGGCUCACUUCCUUACCUACUUCAGGGCUCUGCUCACACGUCACCUCCUCAAGAAGGCCUUCCCCAACUACCCUGUCCUCACUCCCACCCCUUACCCCUGCAUUCCCUGUCCCUCUCACUCUGCUGUGGUUUAUCCUACCUGACAUAGAACAGGUUUAUCUCCCUGUUGUCUAGCAGGCUUUUAUCCAGUUCUGCUUUGCCGGACUGUAUUAAGUAAGUCUCAGUUCCUGGGCUUUAUCACUCAGCAUGGGUGGAACACACGAAAAUGGGAUUUUCCUGUUCCCACUACAGCACUUUUCUUGUGGAUACCACAUCUCCCCAUGUGCAAUAUUCUAUUCCCAUCUCACUCUUACCUUGUGCAGAGCUAUUUUCUCAGAGCAUGAGUCUCUGAACGGAAAAUCUACUGCUUUGUGCCCUGCCUGAGGAUAAGCUUCACCAGAGCAGUCUAUAUUGUUGUUGCUGUUGUUGUUGUUUAUUGCUGUAUUCCUAGCUUCUAGAACAGUGCCUGGCAUGGCAAUCAGUGGCAUGAGUAAAUUUAUGAGUAUAUAUAAUGGACAAGUUUGGGAGAAGAUAAUUAGUUUGGAAACGGGAGAGUUUAGUGGGAGAGACAGGGCCCUGACUACCUCAAAAAGCAGCAGUACUAUAAGAGGACAGAGUUUCUAUUUUUCUGCCUGGUCUAGGACUUGUACUGG